rnacentral:tRNA from 1 species
GAUAGAGUGACUGAAGAAUUAGGUGAUAAAUUGUAAAUUUAUUUAUGGUUAAUAUAUAACCCUCUAUCA